rnacentral:rRNA from 1 species
UACAGAGGGUGCGAGCGUUGUUCGGAAUUACUGGGCGUAAAGGGCGUGUAGGCGGCCAACUAAGUCCGACGUGAAAUCCCCAGGCUUAACCUGGGAACUGCGUCGGAUACUGGAUGGCUUGAAUCCGGGAGAGGGAUGCAGAAUUCCAGGUGUAGCGGUGAAAUGCGUAGAUAUCUGGAGGAAUACCGGUGGCGAAGGCGGCAUCCUGGACCGGCAUUGACGCUGAAGCGCGAAAGCUAGGGGAGCAAACGGG